AUUGAUUAACAAUCUUCAACGACAUGAUCUACUCACUACUUUAGGGUAUUUUUAGAUCUUAUUCACGCAAGUGAAUAGAUAGUCAAUCUUAAUUUGCAUACCAUCCCAUCGUUUGUUGUGCUUUCCAAUCGUUGAAUUUGUCUUUCUUUGCUAACAACAUUCUCGAUGUCUUUCGAGCCUAUCCAGAGAUACAAACGCGGGCUGUUUUCGAUCGCUCAUGUGACCACUCCCACCGAGGGUUCAGCUUUCGAACUGGCCCACAAGUUGAUCGAUCGAAGGAUGGCUGCCUGUGUCAGCAUUGUGCCAGGAGUUGUAUCCUUUUUCGAAUGGGAAGGUACCAUCGUUGAGCACCUGGAAAGCUUGCUGCUAGUCAAAACGCGGACCUCCCGAAUGGAGGAACUGUGCGAGUUCAUACGGGAAAACCAUCCGUACAGUGUGGCGGAAAUUGUGGUGGUGCCGAUUGAGAAUGGAAAUCCAGCGUAUUUGGCGUGGAUGUCUCGGAUGGUGAUGGAGUAGUAAAUUAUUCUUACAGCACUAUUAUGAUGUACUGUUCAAUAUAC